UACAGAGGGGGCAAGCGUUGUUCGGAAUUACUGGGCGUAAAGGGCGCGUAGGCGGCCUGUUAAGUCAGACGUGAAAUCCCCGGGCUCAACCCGGGAACUGCGUCUGAUACUGGUAGGCUUGAAUCCGGGAGAGGGAUGCGGAAUUCCAGGUGUAGCGGUGAAAUGCGUAGAUAUCUGGAGGAACACCGGUGGCGAAGGCGGCAUCCUGGACCGGCAUUGACGCUGAGGCGCGAAAGCCAGGGAAGCAAACCGG
rnacentral:rRNA from 1 species